rnacentral:rRNA from 1 species
ACGAAGGGAGCUAGCGUUGUUCGGAAUUACUGGGCGUAAAGGGCGCGUAGGCGGUAGAACAAGUCAGGUGUGAAAGCCCAAGGCUUAACCUUGGAACUGCGCUUGAUACUGUUCUGCUUGAAUUCGGGAGAGGUGAGUGGAAUUCCCAGUGUAGAGGUGAAAUUCGUAGAUAUUGGGAAGAACACCGGUGGCGAAGGCGGCUCACUGGACCGACAUUGACGCUGAGGCGCGAAAGCGUGGGGAGCAAACAG